CGUACGGGUGAGUAACACGUGGGUAAUCUACCUCUUAGUGGGGAAUAACCCUGGGAAACCGGGGCUAAUACCGCAUAAGCUCGAGAGAGGAAAGCAGCAAUGCGCUGAGAGAGGAGCCCGCGGCCGAUUAGCUAGUUGGCAGGGUAAGAGCCUACCAAGGCAGAGAUCGGUAGCCGGCCUGAGAGGGCACACGGCCACACUGGCACUGAAACACGGGCCAGACUCCUACGGGAGGCAGCAGUGGGGAAUCUUGCACAAUGGGGGAAACCCUGAUGCAGCGACGCCGCGUGAGCGAUGAAGCCCUUCGGGGUGUAAAGCUCUUUCGGCAGGGAAGAUGAUGACGGUACCUGCAGAAGCAGCUGCGGCUAACUACGUGCCAGCAGCCGCGGUAAUACGUAGGCAGCGAGCGUUGUUCGGAGUUACUGGGCGUAAAGGGUGUGUAGGCGGUUCUUUAAGUUUGGUGUGAAAUCUCCCGGCUCAACCGGGAGGGUGCGCCGAAUACUGAGGGACUCGAGUGCGGGAGAGGAAAGUGGAAUUCCUGGUGUAGCGGUGAAAUGCGUAGAUAUCAGGAGGAACACCGGUGGUGUAGACGGCUUUCUGGACCGUAACUGACGCUGAGACACGAAAGCGUGGGUAGCAAACAGGAUUAGAUACCCUGGUAGUCCACGCCCUAAACGAUGCAUAUUUGGUGUGGGUCAUUCAGUUGAUCCGUGCCGGAGCUAACGCGUUAAAUAUGCCGCCUGGGGAGUACAGUCGCAAGGCUGAAACUCAAAGGAAUUGACGGGGGCCCGCACAAGCGGUGGAGCAUGUGGUUCAAUU
rnacentral:rRNA from 1 species